rnacentral:rRNA from 1 species
UACGAAGGGGGCUAGCGUUGUUCGGAAUCACUGGGCGUAAAGGGCGCGUAGGCGGCCGAUCAAGUCGGGGGGUGAAAGCCUGUGGCUCAACCACAGAAUUGCCUUCGAUACUGUUUGGCUUGAGACCGGAAGAGGUAAGUGGAACUGCGAGUGUAGAGGUGAAAUUCGUAGAUAUUCGCAAGAACACCAGUGGCGAAGGCGGCUUACUGGUCCGGUUCUGACGCUGAGGCGCGAAAGCGUGGGGGAGCAAACAGG